rnacentral:rRNA from 1 species
UACAGAGGUCUCAAGCGUUGUUCGGAUUCAUUGGGCGUAAAGGGCGCGUAGGCUGCGGGGCAAGUCGGGUGUGAAAUCUCAGAGCUCAACUCUGAAACUGCACUCGAUACUGCUUUGCUUGAGGACUGGAGAGGAGAUUGGGAUUCACGGUGUAGCAGUGAAAUGCGUAGAUAUCGUGAGGAAGACCAGUGGCGAAGGCGGAUCUCUGGACAGUUCCUGACGCUGAGGCGCGAAGGCCAGGGGAGCAAACGGG